GGGGGUACAGCUCAGUGGUAGAGCACAUGCUUAGCAUGCAUGAGGUCCUGGGUUCAAUCCCCAGUACCCCCA
rnacentral:tRNA from 2 species